UACGAAGGGGGCUAGCGUUGCUCGGAAUCACUGGGCGUAAAGGGUGCGUAGGCGGGUCUUUAAGUCAGAGGUGAAAGCCUGGAGCUCAACUCCAGAACUGCCUUUGAUACUGAGGAUCUCGAGUUCGGGAGAGGUGAGUGGAACUGCGAGUGUAGAGGUGAAAUUCGUAGAUAUUCGGAAGAACACCAGUGGCGAAGGCGGCUCACUGGCUCAUACUGGACGCUGAGGUGCGAAAGCGUGGGGAGCAAACAGG
rnacentral:rRNA from 1 species